rnacentral:rRNA from 1 species
UGGGGAAUAUUGCACAAUUGGCGCAAGCCUGAUGCAGCAACGCCGCGUGAACGAUGAAGGUCUUCGGAUCGUAAAGUUCUUUUGCAGGGGAAGAUAAUGACGGUACCCUGUGAGGAAGCCCCGGCUAACUACGUCCCAGCAGCCGCGGUAAUACGUAGGGGGCUAGCGUUAUUCGGCUUUACUGGUCGUAAAGGGUGCGUAGGUGGUCCUUCAAGUCGGUGGUUAAAGGCUACGGCUCAACCGUAAUAAGCCGCCGAAACUGGAGGACUUGAGUGCAGGAGAGGAAAGUGGAAUUCCCAGUGUAGCGGUGAAAUGGGUAGAUAUUGGGAGGAACACCAGUAGCGAAGGCGGCUUUCUGGACUGCAACUGACACUGAGGAACGAAAGCGUGGGUAGCAAACAGG